CUGUUACUCAGCAGUAAUGAGCUCAGUGCUGUAUCUGCUCUGUAGGGAUCGCGUUUCCUUUAAUUCAGUCUUUUGAGUCACAGGAGUGACGUAAUUUACGGGAUGUCAAACCCGUCCAAGCCCCGCCCGUUUUGUGUUAGGGGGGCGGGGCUCGGCGGCUCCUUUUCUUGUUCAUGUCGGUCUUUCUGUUUUUAUAACAUGUGAAGAGGGAUUACUGUGAGGACACGCCAUGCAGUUUAUUACUGUUAUUACUGCUCUUAUCCUCUCCUCUCUGCCUGACUGGGGAUGCUUCUCUGAGACUGUCCGUACACUGAGCCAUGUGGAGAGAUACAAUGUAAUAAGACUUCAGAAACUGAGCAGCCGGAGCCGGAGGAGCAUCUCUAACCAGGAACCAGAGCAGUAUCCUGAGAAUCUUCGCUAUCAGUUGUUCAUGGAUGGAAAUAGUCACACAAUUAAUUUGGAGAAAAACAGACUGCUGGUUGGACAUAAUUACACUGAAAUAUUUUAUAAAGAGGAUGGAUCAACUGUGAACACGUUUCCCAGUCUUGAGGAUCACUGUUAUUAUCACGGCCAUAUUGAGGGUAUGGAGGACUCGUCAGUUAGUGUUGGAAUCUGCUCUGGAAUGAGAGGUUUUGUUCGGGCUGAGCAGCAGUUGUACCUGAUUGAGCCCUUGAGUGACAGCACUGAGGGAGACCAUGCCCUCUAUAAGCAAGAAGAUCUGAGGAGGAAUAAGAGAGGGACAAAUAACACUGUUUACGACCAUGAACCCAGAUUGGCAGCCCUUUUCAAACGCAGUAGCAGGAAAGGCAGUUCUGCAUUUCGUACAAGGAGAUAUGUGGAGUUGUUCCUUGUCGUGGACAAUGCUGAGUACAAAAACUUUGACUCAAACGCUGGUAGAGUUCGAGCGAGGAUGCUGGAAGUCAUGAAUCAUGUUGAUAAGCUGUAUCGUCCACAUAAUAUUCGGGUGAUGCUGGUGGGGUUGGAAGUGUGGACAGCAGGAGAUCAGUUUUUGGUCAGUGUGAGUUCUGAUGACACUCUUACCAGGUUUAUUGAGUGGCGCAAGGACAACCUGUUGAAAAGAGUCAAGCAUGAUAAUGCGCAGUUUGUGACUGGAAUAGACUUUUUGGGUGAAACUGUGGGACUAGCAAACAAGUAUGCUAUGUGUGCUGUAGGCUCUGGAGGCGUUAAUCAGGAUCAUAACUCAGAUCCUGUGGGCUUGGCCGCCACCAUUGCACACGAGAUGGGACACAACAUGGGCAUGUCCCAUGAUGGGUCACACUGCAGCUGUGGUCUGUUCAACCUUGACUGCAUCAUGACGGAACGCGUGGGCAACAGAAACUUUCCGCAGGUCUUCAGUGACUGCAGCCUGGAUGAGCUGAGUGUGUUUCUGGAGAAUGCCAACCCGAGCUGCCUGCUGGAUCCCCCCCGCUCAGACAGGCUGUACCAGGGCUCUGUCUGCGGCAAUGCUUUCCUGGACCCUGGAGAGGAGUGUGACUGUGGAAGUGUGGAGGAGUGUGAGAACCCAUGCUGUAACCCCAGAACCUGCACAUUUACGGAGGGUUCUCAGUGUGCGGAGGGAGACUGCUGUGAGAACUGCCAGAUAAAACAGGCUGGCAGUGUGUGCAGGGCCUCAGCGAGUGACUGUGAUCUGGAGGAGUACUGCACUGGACUGUCAGAGAAGUGUCCUGAAGAUGACUUUAAAAUGAACGGUAUCCCCUGUGGCUUUGGUAGCAGUUACUGCUAUAAUGGCCAAUGCCCAACUCAUCUCCAGCACUGUCAGAGGCUGUGGGGAAAAGACGCUAAAGUGGCUUCAGACACUUGCUUCUUCAAGAACACCUUUGGGCAUAGUGAUUCUCACUGUGGAAGGACUAAAGAUGGCUUUAAACCCUGUGAAGUAGAAGAUAUGCACUGUGGAAGUAUAUUUUGCGUUGGAGGAAAUACGCUCCCUGUCACCGGGCUGAAAGCUACUCUGCAGAUUAAAGAUAAGAUCUGUAACAUAGUCGGCGAGCGGUUCGAGGAAGAUGAACUGAGCAUGGUGCCGACGGGAACCAAAUGUGGGCAUAAUAAAGUGUGUUUUGCUAAUGUGUGCCAAGAUUUGAAAGUGUACGGUAUGAGAGACGACUGCUCGUCAAAGUGCAGCGGCCGCGGGGUUUGUGAUCACAGGAAACAGUGCCACUGUGAUUCUGGUUGGGCUCCACCGUACUGUGAUAUCAAAUACACUGACCUGCCUUCUGGAAAAGAGGCAAUCAUCGGCGUUUCAGCAGUGGUGGGAGUGCUGCUGCUGCUGCUGGCUGCAGGUUUUGGAGGUUGGAUUUAUCAUAAAAGGAAAACGAACACCAGAUCUAGUCAGAACAUUAAUGAAGAGCAGUUGAAUCCUGGUUAUAGAAAACGGCCUCAGAUCAGCCAACCUACUUUCAUCGAGUCAACUGCAACUCAGGCAUGCACCCCCCUUACAGUCCUAAUUGCCCCCACACAGACUGCAGAGGAUGAAGUGAAAAUUGCACGUAGGCCUCCAACCAUACCAAGAAGAUGACUAGUGGAGGAAUCAUCAUGUAAAUCCACAAUAGACUGCUCAGUCUCUACCUUACAGCACUGUGGAGGAUAGCUUGAGUGACACACAGGAUCUGGGUCUGUGUGCUUUUGUUUUAAUUCCGAGAGCAGGAUCACGUUGGAACCUGCUUAGAAUAUGUGUGGUGCACUCAGCUAGACUUGAAUGUAUAAGAAAGAGUUUUAGACUACAGAUUUAUAGACAGGCAACCACUUUAAAGACCAAACCUGCAUUUUUGUUGGGUUUUUGUUUGUUUUGAUCCACACUGUCUUAAUGUAAAGCACUAAAUGUACUGUAUAUUAUUAUUUAUUAUUAUUUUAUAUUCAUUGGCACUUUUGUAUUAUGUGUAUAUUUAAAAACUGUGAAUUUUUUACUUUUGACUUUUAUGAGUCGAAAUACACUGCCUGGCCAAAAAAAAAAAAAAAAGUCGUCACCUGGAUUUAACUAAGAAAAUGAUCUGGGGUUGCUGCAUUUGGUCAGGUCUAGGUUCAGCAACAGUAUGUGCUGAAAGAAUGAGGUCAGCUGACUACCUGAAUAUACUGAAUGGCCAGGUUAUUCAAUCAAUGGACUUUUUCUAUCCUGAUGACACAGACAUAUUCCAAGGAUUAAUGGGGCUGGAAGUGUGACAGAGUGAUUCAGGGAGCAUGAGAUCAUCAUUUUCACACAUGGAUUGAGAGUUCACCACAAAGUCCAGACCUUAACCUUAUUGAGAAACUUUGGGAUGUGCUAGAUGGAGAAGACUUUGUGCAGUGGUCAGACUCUACCAUCAUCAAUGCUGCAAGAUCUUGGUGAAAAAUGUAUGCAACACAGGAUUGAAAUAAAUCUUGUCACAUUGCAUAAGCUUAUCA
rnacentral:lncRNA from 1 species